rnacentral:rRNA from 1 species
GGUAGCAUAAUCAUUAGUCUUUUAAUUGGAGACUGGUAUGAAUGGCUAAACGAGAGAUCAACUUUUUUUACCGUAAAAAUUGAAUUUAACUUUUUAGUGAAAAGGCUAAAAUUUUUCAGAAAGACGAGAAGACCCUAUAGAGUUUUAUAAAGGACUAAUACUUUUUAUUUGGAUUUUUAUAAAAAAUAUUAAUAAAUUUAUUUUGUUGGGGCGACAUUUAGAUAAAAAAAACUCUUUAUAAGAAAAAUUUUUAUGAAAAUAUGGAUUGAUCCUUAAAAAAAGAUCAUAAGAAAAAAUUACCUUAGGGAUAACAGCGUAAUCUUUUUUGAGAGUUCUAAUCGACAAGAAGGUUUGCGACCUCGAUGUUGGACUAAAAUUAGGGCAGGGU